CCUACGGGAGGCAGCAGUAGGGAAUCUUCCACAAUGGGCGAAAGCCUGAUGGAGCAACGCCGCGUGGGUGAAGAAGGUCUUCGGAUCGUAAAACCCUGUUGUUAGAGAAGAAAGUGAGUGAGAGUAACUGUUCACGUUUCGACGGUAUCUAACCAGAAAGCCACGGCUGACUACGUGCCAGCAGCCGCGGUAAUACGUAGGUGGCAAGCGUUAUCCGGAUUUAUUUGGCGUAAAGGGAACGCAGGCGGUCUUUUAAGUCGGAUGUGAAAGCCUUCGGCUUAACCGGAGUAGUGCAUUGGAAACUGGGAGACUUGAGUGCAGAAGAGGAGAGUGGAACUCCAUGUGUAGCGGUGAAAUGCGUAGAUAUAUGGAAGAACACCAGUGGCGAAAGCGGCUCUCUGGUCUGUAACUGACGCUGAGGUUCGAAAGCGUGGGUAGCAAACAGGAUUAGAUACCCCUGUAGUC
rnacentral:rRNA from 1 species